GUGGACAACUAUUUGUUCAAAUACAAAUUAUUUUUUGAGAGACUUUGUCAUGUACAAACUUUCUAUCUUCAAGUAUAACUUAGUUGUCAUAUCCCCUUCUUCAACCUUGCAAAGUAUCUUAUCACGCAUGCACUGCUUAUUCCUAGUAUUGUAGGUCUCAGAUGUCCUCAAGCACAGGAUGUCAAGUGUAGUAAUAACAAAUGGUGAGGUGGGUUUAGAUCCACACAGAAUGGGGGUCUCAAAAGCAGUUUAGAAAGGGAAGACUGGAGGUUAAAGUGCUAGACUAGUGAUGGGUUUGAUUAUGAAGUUGUGUAGAGAUUUGGUAAGGCAAUUGUUAGAUGCGAGAUUGAGCUAAGCCAAUGUCAAAAGAAGAUGUAGGCAUUAGGGAUUGUGUACCCUUGAUGGAAUGAUACUAAUAUUUAAUCACAACUGAGGUACUAAUGAGUGGUCUUUGGAAGAUUUUGCAAUGUGGUUCUUAGAGACAUUUCACAAACAUGUAGUUCAAAUCAAAGUCUUGGUUUGAUCAUGGAAGACUACCUAUUUUCCUCCAACUACCAGCCAUGGAAUUACCUAAUCAAGCUUGAAAUCUUAGGUCGAGGUGCUUAAACACUAAGCACCUGGGAUGUCCAGUUAUCAAGUAUUAAAUAAACCUAAGCCCUACUGAGAGAAGAUAGAGAAAGAUAAUAAUAAAUGAAAGGAAAUGAAUCUGAUCUAUAUUGCAUUAAAUUCAUGGACAAAAAUGGCAGAAAUAAUUCAUAGGAUUUCAGCCCAAUGAGGCCCCCUUGUGCUAUUUGGCGAGCUAGCUAACAAAAUGAGAUUUUCAAGUCUCCAUAAAUAUAUGCUGUUACAACCCAAAAGAAAUGGAGAAGAAGAAAUGAAAACUUACAAAAAUUGGAACAAAAUGAAAUAUUAAAAGAUGCUAUUAAUGUUUGAUACAAGAUAGUGUGUACUAUUGAGUUUGAAAUGAAGAAAUUGAAGUUCAAUGUGAGCUGAAAGUGGAGGCAUGUCAAACCCCUAGCUGAAGACUGUCUCUUUCUCCUUCCAUGUUGAAAAAUGAUAUUUUAUAGCCCUCCAAAAGAAACCCUGGAUUGCUUUCCAUGUGGAGACUUCUCAGUAGUGUGUGGAAGAUUGGAUGGUUUAAAGAUUGCAAAAUCUUUUGAUGAGGAGGAUAGCCCAAUAGGGCAAAGUGCAGUGGUUGGGGAAUUGAAUGUCUACGGGGUAAUCAGCGCACCUAUGGUGGUCUGCAGAUUCAUUUUUGGACUGCUAGUGUUUUUAUGCUAGAGGAAUACACCCUCUAAUCCAUCUCCUUAUGGGGAUGUGGGAUGAAUAUGGCCUCUAUGCUGAUUCUUCAAUGUUUUUGCUCCUUUCAUUCCAAUAUGACAUGGCAACUCUCUCGAGGACUCAAGUAUCAGCCAUGAGUGAGGGAAUUGCAUGUACAUCAAAAGUUUGUAAAACAUUAAAUAGCCGAGCAUUUACCGUUAGCUUAAAAUUUGGCUAUAAGGGAAUCAGAUUCGCAUAACGCUACAAAAUGCACGUGAAAACCUUAACUAGGGAGCCAUUCCACCAUUCAUCAAGCACAACAUAAUAGCACUAGGUGAUUUUUCCACAAGUUCAUUCUUCUCUUAGUUGAUCAUUGUUGCUAGUAGAGCCUUCCUACCUUUCAAUGUCUUAUAGAAUUUCUAUGAAAAGCUACAAAGCAUGCAUCUUGAUGCGCCAUAAACUAAAAUUGUUUCUUCCAUCAACUUUUCAAACUGAUCUCUAAUACAAUUUGUUGUAACAAGCCAGAACAAACGAAAAUAAAUCAUAAUAAGAAAAUAAGAAAAGGAAAAUAGAAAGUAUAUAAAGCUUACAACAAUUUGUAUGGUUACAACAAUCUAUGUGGCUUAGUGCAAAGCUUGUAUCUAGGGGCAUGGGCUACAAAGAAAUGUUAGUAAAAUGCAAGGAGAUUAUAAUCUAAGAAUUCUCAAAUCCCAAAGCCCAAAUAUACUUCAAAAGACUAUUUAUGUUAAAAUCUUUCACUAAUUCUUUCCUUUAUAAUAUAGGAAUAUUUCAUAUAAAGAAUCAAUUCCUCAAUUACUAAAGAAACCUAAGUCUAUAGUAAAAUCUUUUAAUAAUAAGAAUGGAAGCUCCGUUACAAAAAUAUCUCCAAAUAGAAUAAUAUCAAGGAAGUAGAAAUUGACCCAAGAAAGGAAUCUGAGAUACUCUUCAACAAUAACCAUCUAUGUAUGUCAAAGUAUGAAUCUUAAUUGUCACGCCCUCAUCUACUAUAUGGGCAUGAUGGUCAUUUCACACUUCAAGCUUGGAGACUUAAGUGCAAAUGACUCAAACAAGCAUCUUAUAACUGAAAAGUUAUGGGUUACUAUAUUCAUGUUCAGAGUAAGCAAAAACAUAUUUUUCCCUUAAAAAACUUCAAAAAAGUAUUCUGCACACAAUACUACAACCAACCAUCAUAUAUUUGUUUUCUUUUUCCAACAUCCUACUAUUUGUUGCAUAUUGGACUUUUUUUUUAAAAAAAAAUUUUUUCUACUCAUCAAAUCUUUGAAAUUUCUUAUCCAUGAAUAAAUCAAUCUGUAUUCAUGCAUUUUUAAUAAUUUUUUUAAAGAAAUCAAAGCCUUAUAUAAAUUUAAAUUU
rnacentral:lncRNA from 1 species